CUUGUUUAUAUAUACAGAUUAACACUUGUUUAUAUAUACAGAUGCAAAGCAGCCUAGCGCAAGGGAUGUUCCUGGCCGGCGCAGGCGGGCGCGGCGCGUACGCGGGCGCCGCGCUGCAGGGCCCGCUGGCGUACCUCGAGAAAACUGCCACUAACAUAGACAUGGUGGGGCUGGGCGACGGACGCAGGUGACGCGGCCGCGGGAGGGGCAGGGGGCGCGGCCGCGGCAGAGGACGCGGCCGAGGCGCAUCCCCCGAGUAUGGCGGCAGCAUGACGCCGCCGUAGCGCCCCCUCCCGGCGCGGCGGCGACAACGCACAUUCGCUCGACAUCACCUCGCUAUGUUGGCUAACGUGUUUUUUUAAUAAUUAUGAUCUUGAGUACGGGUCCAGCAUGUGUACCUACUGGGCCACAAAGUCUGGAGGAGGAAUAUCUAAUAAGUUAAUAACCCUUUUAGCAUGAAAUUAGUAAUUUUUAACAAUAAUGACUUGGAUACUAGUCCAUUGAACCUAGUCUCCAAACUUUACUCGAGGACCAAAGGGGCUAACGCGAAAAUCGGAUCGAUCUAUCAACCUUCGAUAUUCGAAUGAUAGAGAGGCAAAUAGACCAAUGAAGUUAUUCUAGUCUUCCUUUCAAGUCAAAUUUCCUUUGGCUUUUCUUGCUUCCUUUCCGCAAGCCAAAAGUUGAACGUCCAAAAAGUAUCUGAAUAGUUCAACCAAAAUCGAGCUAGACUUAAUUUUGAUUAUCAGCUUCCUUCAACAACAACCAACUGAAUCUUUACUUGCUCAGCCGGAUUAGUUUAUACGUAUUAUUAAUUACGUUUAUCAGUUUAUGAUCAUAAUCAACAGACCAGUUAACCACAAAAUAUGUGGAAAGACCAUUAUAUUUAUCGGCAUAAGUGAUCAUUAAUGUUUUUUUACAACUAGCGAGGUCAUGUUAAGCGUUCAUCUCAUUCCAAAUCAUUGCUUAUAACCAGAUAAAUUAUAAUAAUAUACCUACAAGUUAUACAACAUAUCCGCUAUGAUCUUUUUAUAGACGAUAUUUGAAAACUAGCUUUUUGAGACCAGUGGUUAUUUGAAACUGCACUGAAUUAGUACAUUACGAUACAAGUGCGAAAAAUAGGAAAUUCGAGUGGCGAUAAAUUAAAACACGACCGAAGGGAGUGUUUUAAAUCCACACGAGUUGCGAAUUACCUAUUCGCACAUGUAUCGUACAACGUUUUACAGUACAUAUGGCCCUUUAAAUGUUCGACACAGUAACGUAAUAUGCUAAUUUUCGCACUAGUGCGGUAAAGUAGUACCAUAUGUACUGUAAAUUAUAUAAACGUAAAACGAGGUAAUUUUUAAACAAUGGAACUCUGAAAUUUUUUAUUUCAUGUUUAACACUACCUACCAUAAUACCAUAAAAUAGACCAAGCUAACCAAGAACAGGGAGCGUGCAUGAACUGUAGGAGGCAGCACAGGAGCCGUCAGAUUUUUGGCGCGAGGCGGAAAUGUGAUGUUUAUUGUUCCGAUGUAGCCCACAAGAUGGCGGAACCUACUAUGCACAAGAAAACACGUGACGUGUAAAUGUACAUGUUAAUGGUUCCGAUUCAGGCCACAAGAUGGCAGACCCUCCAUCGCGCACGGUCCCUCUAAUGAUUAAGAACAGUUUUUACCCAUCGUUUCCAAGGGAUCUAAGUAUGCCAACCAAAAACACCUAAUGCCCACGCCCUCGCCAGACAAAGAAUGAAGAACUUUGGAACACGCUAUCUGGAACCAAAGGAAUUCAAAAUGCUACACAUGAGCUCCAUCAUCCGGCAUAUAAAGAUGGUCGGAAAAGCUCUUGAGUAGUUGACUAAGGGGGUACACACAAAAAAUCCUAUGGGUUCCGCAAUGGCCCCCGAAAACUAAAGGAUAAGAUAAGAUGCCAACAAAAAAAAACAAUCGAGAAUUUAGAGUUGAAUUUUUACAGUCAUUGCGGACGCAAUAUCGCGUCCUCGAGCCUCAAGGGAGACCAAUCUAACAAAGCAGCUGUAUAUUUGUAUUAAUUAACCUUUUGAACGCCAGGCCUAUCGCACGCGGCGCGUAAUCGUGUACCUUGUCGGUACGCAUGAAGGUUGAUAUUGGGCUGUAGCCGCGCGUCAUAUGACGUCUUUGGCGGUCAAAAGGUUAAUGAUGAUAUCUGUUUUCUGUACACUCGUUAACGUUAAUACAAACGCUUUAUGUAUGAAGUACUUUUUAGACUACUAAUAUGAAACAUAAUGUAAGAUAUACGAAUAAAGAUCGACUUCUACAGUUUCAAAUAACCCCAGGUCACAAAUAACCAUACCGUAUAAGUAUUUAAACAAAAAUCGUUGUUGUAACAGAUUAUAUUUUGUAUAUUUCUCGACCACCGUAUCCUUUAACCCUUUGAACGGUAAGGCGUCGUUACUAGUCGUGCCCACCGCGCCAACAGGUGUUAUGGCGGACGCUGUCAAAGUAACCUUCACACUUUCAAGUAAGGUUUACAUUAGCUCGCUUGCGCCCGGGAGCUUGGCGUGUGAGUGAUGUUUGUGUUUAUGACAUAGUGUUCAAAAGGUUAAAGUAGUUCUUAUUUUUCAAAUGAUUUCUACUGUAUAUAAGCAACUAUUGUAUUUUAUUUCACCAGAUAAUUUAUUGGGAAAAUUCUGUGUUGCAUGUUUGACAGAAUAUAACUACUUAUUGCACAUAAUCACACUUAUGAUAUCACGUAACCAAUGAGCUAGUCAGACCACACUAAGUUGUCAGUGAUUUUGAUAGCCCAGACGGUGCACGUGUUAUUUAAACGUCAAACCAGGGCUCGCAACCGGUUUAUUUUUAAAUCCCGAAAUAGCCCAAUAUUACUCUACGUAGGACUGGAUCACGUAUUUAGGUAACAACUUCGCAUUAAUAGAAAAUCCCAUUAAAAAUGAAAUAAUAAACCAAAGAACGAAAAAGAACGUAAUAAUACCGGUAUUUUUUGUAUGAAGAAAAAACCGGUUCCGAGCCUUGCGUCAAAGUUCUAUGAAAUUAUGACGUUUACUUAACACUUGCCCCGUCUGGGAUAUCAAUAUCGCUGACAACUUAUCUUGGUGUGAGUCUCAUGUAAGGGCUCUACAGACCUAGCAACAAAUGGUAUGCGAUUUUAGAUAAUUGCCAGCUAAGUUGGUACAAUCAAUUCAAUCGAUCGAUCAAAUGCCGCAAUGUGUCAACAUUGACAUAUAAAUAAAUAUUAUAGGACAUUAUUACACAAAUUGACUAAGUCCCACAGUAAGCUCAAUAAGGCUUGUGUUGAGGGUACUUAGACAACGAUAUAUAUAAUAUAUAAAUAUUUAUAAAUACUUAAAUACAUAGAAAACACCCAUGACUCAGGAACAAAUAUCUAUGCUCAUCAUCCGGGACCAUCGGCUUCAUAGGCAGGGUCACUACCCACGAGGCCAGACCGGUCGUACAUAUAUAUCUAAGGACGGCCCUUACGGGCAAUAAGAAUGGCGCUAGUUCAGUGGUGUCACUCACGAAUUCGAGCCAAUCGUGCAGUCUAACGCAACUAGUUGCGAACAAUCGCGCGCGUGAUGCGAACUCAUCAACCAAUCGCGUUGCGGCGUUAGACUGCACAAUUGGCUCGAAUUCGUGUACGUGUCGCCGCUGUACUGGCCCCAUUCUUAUUGCCCGUAAGGCCCGUCCUUAGAUAUAUAUGUCAAUGAAUGCCCAUCGCAUACAAUUAUUUGGUAGAUCUAUAGAGACCAGUACUGAAUGUUUUCCAUCGUAAAGAUGCAAUAAAUGUCCUGUGCAUAAUCACUUGUAUAAAAUAGGAUUAAGAUAAGUAAAAUGGGGUGACUCAGUCCACUAAGCUUACACUAUAUAGCUAUCGAUAUAUUUCAAUUUGUAAACCACUGGUCUUAUUCACAUAUUUAUGAAAUUUCCGGAAACGAUCAAUUACUACUAGGCAACCAAGACAAUUGUUAUAACCAACAAUUAGAAGUUUGCAUGUCUUUGUAGCCCCGUUUUGGUUAAUGUCACCCCAUUUUAUGAUACACGAAGCAACAAAUAAUGUAACCAUAAACUAUAUUAUCUAGUCCCAAAAAUAGGCAUAAAAAAGUUUUUCUUCGGCACGUGGGGAAGAUAUUACUAAUGAAUCAUUAUAAUGUAUUGAUAACGAAUAUAUCAUACACGCAUUCGAAUAAAUAUUAAUAUGAAACAUUGUGUUUUUUUUUAUCUCCCAAUCACCUUAUUUUUACUGUUACCUCCUGUCUCCAACAUCAGAUCAGCUUGAUGGUACCAUAAUAUUGCAUUGUCACCCGACUUACAUACUUAUGCAUGCAAAUUUUCAGCUUCAUCGGAAACCGGGAAGUAGGUCAAAUUUAACUUGCAAGAUUUGUCCCAUAUAGGGCAAGUUAAAUAAAAGCUUGUAAAAACGUAGACUUGCUUUAUAGGUUGGUCAGUUGUACCAAAGAGAAUUUGAAAUAGAGGUGUAUUGUCAAAAAUAACUUUGUAGCCACGUAUGUUUUACCGCGGGGACCUGGUAGUGUCCUUAAACUACGUCCAACGUAUGGUUAAUCCUAAGCGGUCAUAUUGAAGGAGAAUCCAUCGGUUCAACAGAACUUGUCAACGAAAUUACGGUCAAAUCAAUAAAAACUAUGGGAUUAGGAUUAUCAGUGUUUAACUGCAGGGACAAUGAAUCAUCUGAGUAUGUAAACACAGUGCGUACUUUAGUGGUGCCCAGGGUGCGCAUCACAUCACGAAAUAUUGGCGAAAUUUUACCAAUACGAUUUUACGAAAAAAAUCACACAAGCACGCACACACACAAACACAAACACACAACACACUUUUAGGUAAUUAUCCUAACAGUAUAAUAAACAAUAGUAAUAGUCCAAUAGUAAAUAUAUAUAAACAUAUAUAAUACGGGUAGUUGAAAAUGUUGUCACAAACAAUAGCUGAUAUUGUAUACGUAUAUACUUAAUUAAGCAAAAUGAUUAUCCAAAUUUUAGAUUUGUCUACCAACUCACCUUUGCUGCAUUUCUAAAAAUAGCGGUGGUUCCCUGAUCCCUAUAAGACAGGUUUACCUAGUUUAGGGCUCAGGACACUAUUCCUAGGCUUUCCAACAAUAGAAUGCUUCUAAAAAUGUAAUACUUUUCUACUGUGUAAUAAGCUGCAAUUUUGAUACCUAAAUAAAUCAUUUUUCAUUUUUUUCA